rnacentral:rRNA from 1 species
GACGAACGCUGGCGGUGUGCUUAACACAUGCAAGUCGAACGGUAAGGCCCUUUCGGGGGUACACGAGUGGCGAACGGGUGAGUAACACGUGAGUAACCUGCCCUCAUCUCUGGGAUAACAGUCGGAAACGGUUGCUAAUACUGGAUAUGAGCUUGCAAGGCAUCUUGUGGGUUGGAAAGAUUUUUUUGGUUGGGGAUGGACUCGCGGCCUAUCAGCUUGUUGGUGAGGUAGUGGCUCACCAAGGCUUCGACGGGUAGCCGGCCUGAGAGGGCGACCGGCCACAUUGGGACUGAGAUACGGCCCAAACUCCUACGGGAGGCAGCAGUGGGGUAUAUUGCACAAUGGACGGAAGUCUGAUGCAGCAACGCCGCGUGCGGGAUGACGGCCUUCGGGUUGUAAACCGCUUUCAAUUGUGACGAAGCUUUUUGUGACGGUAGCAGUAGAAGAAGCACCGGCUAACUACGUG